rnacentral:rRNA from 1 species
CCUACGGGUGGCAGCAGUGAGGAAUAUUGGUCAAUGGACGAGAGUCUGAACCAGCCAAGUAGCGUGAAGGAUGACUGCCCUAUGGGUUGUAAACUUCUUUUAUAUGGGAAAAAAAUGUUCCACGUGUGGGAUUUUGUAUGUACCAUAUGAAUAAGGAUCGGCUAACUCCGUGCCAGCAGCCGCGGUAAUACGGAGGAUCCGAGCGUUAUCCGGAUUUAUUGGGUUUAAAGGGAGCGUAGGUGGAUUGUUAAGUCAGUUGUGAAAGUUUGCGGCUCAACCGUAAAAUUGCAGUUGAAACUGGCAGUCUUGAGUACAGUAGAGGUGGGCGGAAUUCAUGGUGUAGCGGUGAAAUGCUUAGAUAUCACGAAGAACUCCGAUUGCGAAGGCAGUUCACUGGACUGCAACUGACACUGAGGCUCGAAAGUGUGGGUAUCAAACAGGAUUAGAUACCCCAGUAGUC